rnacentral:rRNA from 1 species
CACUAGUGAUUGGUGUUCUUCCCGAUAUCUACACAUUCCACCGUUACACCGGGAAUUCCAGUCUCCCCUACCACACUCUAGCCUGCCCGUACCCGGCGCAGAUCCACCGUUAAGCGAUGGACUUUCACACCAGACGCGACAAACCGCCUACGAGCUCUUUACGCCCAGUAAUUCCGGAUAACGCUUGCACCCUACGUAUUACCGCGGCUGCUGGCACGUAGUUAGCCGGUGCUUAUUCGAAAGGUACACUCACUUGCGCUUGCUCCCUAACAAAAGCGGUUUACAACCCGAAGGCCGUCAUCCCCCACGCGGCGUCGCUGCAUCAGGCUUGCGCCCAUUGUGCAAUAUUCCCCACUGCUGCCUCCCGUAGGAGUCUGGGCCGUAUCUCAGUCCCAAUGUGGCCGGUCGCCCUCUCAGGCCGGCUACCCGUCGUAGGCUUGGUAGGCCAUUACCCCACCAACUACCUGAUAGGACGCGACCCCAUCCCAUACCGAUAAAUCUUUCCCACAAUCACAUGUGAUCAUGUGGAGCAUCCGGCAUUACCACCCGUUUCCAGGAGAAUCGAAUUC